UUUAAAGAGUGCGUAAUAGCUCACUGGUCGAGAGACUCUGCGCCGAAAAUGUCCGGGGCUAAAGUGUAAAACCGAAGUCGUGUCAUAUGCAGCAAUGUAUAUGGGUAGGGGAGCGUUCUCAUCGGGCUGAAGCAGUACCGUAAGGAGUUGUGGACUGAUGAGAAGUGAGAAUGUCGGUAUGAGUAGCGAAAAGAAUGGUGAGAAUCCAUUCCACCGAAAGCCUAAGGGUUCCUGAGCAACGAUCGUCGUCUCAGGGUAAGUCGGGACCUAAGCCGAGGCGGAAAAGCGUAGGCGAUGGACAACAGGUUGAAAU
rnacentral:rRNA from 1 species